UCGAUGGUAUCAAAAGCCGCUGAGAGGUCUAACAGGACCAGAACAGAGGAACAACCCCUGUCCCGAGCCCUCCAGAGAUCAUCAACCAACGCGACCAAUGCCGUUUCCGUGCUGUGUCCAGGCCUGAAACCCGACUGGAACGGAUCUAGAUAGGAUGUUUCCCAUUGAUGAGAUCUGCAGGGCUGCGACCUGGGCUUCUCCGACGCCCUUUAUCCGCCACUACCGCUUGGACAAAUUCGCGUCGGCGGAUGCAGCAUUUGGACGACGGGUCCUACAACAGGUCCAAGCUGCCUCCUAAUCCCAGGGCCGGCCUGCUCCCUCCCGACUGGACACCUGCCUUUGACACGUCUUCUGCAGCUACGCCCUCGUCUCAAAACUGACAGCUACAGCCAGGAGGAGGGACUUCUUUGACUCUGCAGACCCGGUCCAAUCAAUACUCAACCAAGUCUCCUCCCAUCCUGACUGCAUCCUGACUGCCGUGCCCAACAGUCAGAGAAGAGGCGUAUCAGUGGAUGGAAGGCAGAUUGGGAUUUACAAAGAGUUGCCGCCUAAGAUGUUAAAAGACAGAAAAGAUUUUGGAUUUUUGGUGAUUGAACUAAAGAAACAACAGAUUCCAUACAGAUGGGAUGUCCCAGUUGGCAUAAGAUUGACAUAUCAAGGAGAAAGAUAUCGAUUAAAUACUGUUGAAAAAGCGGAAGAAUUUUAUCGCAAUUUUUUAAAAUUGGCCCAACAUCUCCACGUAUAUUGUCAGCGUCAGGAAUACAGGAGGGAGAUAAAGAAAAGCAAAUUGAACGAAAGACUAAAGUCCAGUGGAAGCAGAUGGAGGUGGAGCCAAUGGAAAUACAAGGAACUACAGGGGGCUCUUUGGAUGACUCACGCUUGGAUUAUCCUUUAAAGGUUUUAGCUGGACCACUUAAAAAAACAAGAAAAGUGGCUGUGGAUCUUGAUCUAAUGUCCUCCACAGUUAAAGAUCAGCAUACAACUCGAAUAGCAUAUAAACAAAUUCCAGAAAAGCAACAACAGCAUAGCUUCAAGCCACCACAAGGCAAGAAAAAAAAACUAGAAAGUUUUAGACCAAUAUUUCUUUUGAAUAUGGAUUAUAAAUUUUUGUAAAACUAUUAUCCAACAUAUCAAUGCCAGUUAUCUAAGAAUUGAUUUAUGUUUAUGUAGGACUUAUAGAAGGCAGAUAUAUGAAAGAUAAUGUGAGGCAAAUUAUAGGCUUAUUGGACUAUCUUGAGAAGAAUAAACAGAUCCCUGCAGUGCUGGUGUUUAAGCAUGUGGAGAAGGCCUAUAAUUGAGUGAAUUGGAACUUUCUAUUAUAGAUUUUAAGAAAGAUGGAUUAUGUGUACAUUGAAGGGAAUAAUUAUGAGGCAAGAGGACUACGGAACAAGGGCAUUUGCAGUUGAUCUGGUUGUUACCCUAACAUGAUUGAUGGAAUUAAUAAUCUAGAUGGAAGACUUUGCAGAAGAUAUUGUAUGCAAUAUAAAUAUAAAGUCACUCAGGGGGGUUUUAUACAUAAAAGUAUUUCUUAACAAUGUGGGCAGAUGGCAACUAAAGACACUAAAUACUCUGUUGGAAGAAGGAUCUGAUGUGAUUGUUUAGAUUUUAUAAAUAAUUAUAUAUGGCGGACCUGCGGGAAAGUGGGUGAAACAAAACUGAUAGGGUAUAUGGUGAUAAACUAGAUUAUACUGGAAAAGGGAUGUUAUUGAAGAAUGGACUCUGAAGCUGGCUAGUCUUGUAGAAAUGAUGAAGUUAUCAGCAUAUAUAAAAGAUCGGACACAAGAGAUUUAUGUAAGGGAGUGGAGGAUAGGUAUAGAUUAUGUGUAGAAUAAAUACUAAACUAAGAAGUAUUAGAUAAUUUUUAGAUGAAUGUUGUCUAGAAAUGUAUAGUUUACAGGGGAUAGUAUACUAGAAUGUCAGGAAGAAAUGUAUAAUUGGAUUUCAUUCUGGGGAAG